rnacentral:ncRNA from 20 species
ACCGAAUACAUAGCUUAAGGUGCCCAUAGGGAGAAUAGGGAAACCGGUAUAAGUCCGGUGCGGAUCCGCCGCUGUAAUCGGAGACGAAUCCCCAGAAUGUCACUGUCUUUUUUAGAGAUGGGAAGGCGUGGGAGGAGGAUGACACGAGAGCCAGAAGACCUGCCUUUUAGAAAGCUGAUUAA